GGGAUGGGGCUGCCCCCAGGAACCAAGUGGGCCCUGCACUGGAGCCUGUCCUCACCUUUCAGAACUUGCACCGGUCCGUUCCAGCACAGAGGUGGGAGCAAACACUGGCACGGGGGAUCAGGACAGGCAAGCAAAUUGUGCUAGUGUGCAGGUGCCCACCGAAGGGAAGCAGAAUUCCUUACAGUGAGAUUUCAGAAUAAUUGGAAGUGAUCUUUCCUGGCCAACACAGUGUUUCAGGCCCUGUUACUAUAUCAUAUAGAAUGAUAUAACGAGGACAUGAUUAUUUUUAUUAUUAACAUAUAUAACUUAUGCAACACCUCCUUCCUUAAAA